rnacentral:rRNA from 1 species
CCCUUAGAUGUUCUGGGCUGCACGCGCGCUACACUGAAGCGUUCAACGAGUAUUCACCUUGCCCGGGAGGGUUGGGUAAUCUUUUGAAAACGCUUCGUGAUGGGGAUAGAUUAUUGCAAUUAUUAAUCUUGAACGAGGAAUUCCUAGUAAACGCAAGUCAUCAGCUUGCAUUGAUUACGUCCCUGCCCUUUGUACACACCGCCCGUCGCACCUACCGAUCGAAGGUAAUGAUGAGCCCUCAGGAUUGUGGCCUCGUCGCGUCAGCGUCUUGGCUGCGAGAAUCUGUGCAAAUCCCUACCUUUAGAGGAAGGUGAAGUCGUAACA